CACGUAGGGCGCGAGCGUUGUCCGGAAUUAUUGGGCGUAAAGAGCUCGUAGGCGGCCUGUUGCGGUCCGCUCGGUGAAAAGCCCCGGGGGCUUAACCCCCGGGUUCGGCAGUGGAUACGGGCAGGCUAGAGGUAGGUAGGGGAGAAUGGAAUUCCCGGUGUAGCGGUAGAAAUGCGCAGAUAUCGAGGAGGAACGACCGGUGGCGAAGGCGGGUCUCCUGGGCCGUAACUGACGCUGAGGAAGCGGAAAGCAGUGGGGAGCGAACAGG
rnacentral:rRNA from 1 species